AGGGCAGAGGAGAAACAAGACAUGGCUGAGAGGGAAAGCAGGCCCAUGCCCCCAGCAGAGGAUCAGGAAACCAGCAUGUCCUGAACGGGAGCAGCACGGACGAACGGAGCGGGAGAACGAGCGGCCUGGCAGUCACCGCCUUCGGGGCCGAGACCUCACCACCACCUCACCCCGAGCCCUGCAGACCCCAGAGCUGCCUCCUCUGCCUCCAGGAUCCUUCAACCUUUUGGGAAACAUCGUCCUUAAAAAAAARAAAUAAAAUAAAAAUUUAAAAAGAAGAAGGAAAACAAGGAAAAACCCCAGAAAACGCGGCACGAGCAGCACUUUUCAGGACAGGUUCUGGUGUGUUUUGGGAAUGGUCUGUGGAGAGCAGCGCAAACACUCGCUGGGUAAAUCAAGAGUAUCCUCCAGGCCAUGAAUCCCCAGCCCAGAAAGAGAAUUUAUUUUUGGUUUGAGUUACAAACCCUUCCCCUUGCUCGCUGCUGGCCAGCGCGGAGAUCGUGUGGAGAGCUGCACCCCCGGGGUCUUCCAGGAGAUCCCAAAAACUGCUGGACCAGGGAAAAACAACUCCAGAAUAUCCCAAAAGCUGCUGGACCAGGGAACAACAACAAAUCCUCCAGGACAUCCCAAAAACUGCUGGACAAGGGAAAAACAGCUCCAGGAGAUCCCAAAAACUGCUGGACCAGGGAACAACAACAAAUCCUCCAGGACAUCCCAAAAACUGCUGGAUUGGGAACAACUCCAGGAUAUCCCAAAAGAUGCCAGUCCAGAG